AUAAAGAAUAGAGGUCGCAGUGAACAAGAUUAGCUGGUGGAGUCGAUAGACGAGAAAGCCAGUGAAAGGGAACAUUGCCGAAACAAGGGGAUAGAUAUAUCUUUUUGUUGGUCCAGACGCCAAUAACGGUUGGAUUGUCGUAAUGAAACACAUUGCGGAGCGCUAUCGAUAAA
rnacentral:ncRNA from 1 species